rnacentral:rRNA from 1 species
AGAGACAGCAGCCGCGCGGGAAUACGUAGGUGGCAAGCGUUGUCCGGAAUUAUUGGGCGUAAAAGGCUCGCAGGCGGUUUCUUAAGUCUGAUGUGAAAGCCCCCGGCUCAACCGGGGAGGGUCAUUGGAAACUGGGAAACUUGAGUGCAGAAGAGGAGAGUGGAAUUCCACGUGUAGCGGUGAAAUGCGUAGAGAUGUGGAGGAACACCAGUGGCGAAGGCGACUCUCUGGUCUGUAACUGACGCUGAGGAGCGAAAGCGUGGGGAGCGAACAGGAUUAGAGACCCCUGUAGUCCCUGUCUCUUAUACA